rnacentral:rRNA from 1 species
CCUACGGGAGGCUGCAGUAGGGAAUCUUCCACAAUGGGCGCAAGCCUGAUGGAGCAACACCGCGUGAGUGAAGAAGGGUUUCGGCUCGUAAAACUCUGUUGUUGGAGAAGAACGUGCGUGAGAGUAACUGUUUACGCCGUGACGGUAUCCAACCAGAAAGUCACGGCUAACUACGUGCCAGCAGCCGCGGUAAUACGUAGGUGGCAAGCGUUAUCCGGAUUUAUUGGGCGUAAAGCGAGCGCAGGCGGUUGCUUAGGUCUGAUGUGAAAGCCUUCGGCUUAACCGAAGAAGUGCAUCGGAAACCGGGCGACUUGAGUGCAGAAGAGGACAGUGGAACUCCAUGUGUAGCGGUGGAAUGCGUAGAUAUAUGGAAGAACACCAGUGGCGAAGGCGGCUGUCUGGUCUGCAACUGACGCUGAGGCUCGAAAGCAUGGGUAGCGAACAGGAUUAGAUACCCCUGUAGUC